rnacentral:rRNA from 1 species
GGAGAAAGCAGGGGAUCGCAAGACCUUGCGCUCUUGGAGCGGCCGAUGCCUGAUUAGCUAGUUGGUGAGGUAAAGGCUUACCAAGGCGACAAUCAGUAGCUGGUCUGAGAGGACGACCAGCCACACUGGGACUGAGACACGGCCCAGACUCCUACGGGAGGCAGCAGUGGGGAAUUUUGGACAAUGGGGGAAACCCUGAUCCAGCCAUGCCGCGUGAGUGAAGAAGGCCUUCGGGUUGUAAAGCUCUUUCAGCCGGAACGAAACGGUCACGGCUAAUACCUGUGACUACUGACGGUACCGGAAGAAGAAGCACCGGCUAACUACGUGCCAGCAGCCGCGGUAAGACGUAGGGUGCAAGCGUUAAUCGGAAUUACUGGGCGUAAAGCGUGCGCAGGCGGUUUUGUAAGUCAGAUGUGAAGUCCCCGGGCUUAACCUGGGAACUGCGUUUGAAACUACAAGGCUAG